GACGAACGCUGGCGGCGUGCUUAACACAUGCAAGUCGAGCGGUAAGGCUCCUUCGGGAGUACACGAGCGGCGAACGGGUGAGUAACACGUGAGCAAUCUACCCUUCACAUCGGAAUAACCCUGGGAAACUGGGGCUAAUACCGAAUAUCACCACCGAUGGCAUCUUCGGUGGUUGAAAGCUCCGGCGGUGAAGGAUGAGCUCGCGGCCUAUCAGCUAGUUGGUGAGGUAACAGCUCACCAAGGCAACGACGGGUAGCCGGCCUGAGAGGGUGACCGG
rnacentral:rRNA from 1 species